GAGAGAGAGAGAGAGAGAGAGAAAGAGAGAGAGAGAGAGAGAGAGCACCCUCACUGAAUGUUUAUUAUAGUUUUUAUUACAGUUUUUUAGCAUUGGGGGGUUUUGGGGUAUCACUCAAACAAAGGAAACAGCAAAAGUUUUAACAUAAUAAGUGUCCAAUUACAAAGAUAAAGAAAUGAGUAGUAAUACAAUUGUAUAGCCAGGUGUUCAGGAAGAGUAAUUUGCAAGUCUAUCUUGACUAGUGAAAAAACUUCUGUCUUCCCAAAAACCUGGUCCAAACCUAUUCAGAGUCUGACCACUUUUUCAGAUGUUAAGGUCCAAAAGGCCUUUACAACUUGUCUGCCAGCUUUCAGACUGCAGAUAAUUAUAGAGGCUUAAUUUUUAAGUUCCACAAAAUUUAAGUCCCAUCCAAUUUAAGGAUUCAGAAAUCAAUCAUGUGAAAUAUUAGAAAUAUAUCCAUAAACACUUUGCUAAUUAGUCAGUUUUUGAAUACAUCUUUAAUAUCUUCAUGAUUCGUCAUUUACUGAAACCCUUCACCCGAGGUUAGGGGAUUGGAGAGAGGGCUUAGAGCAUUCACUAAAGAUUUCUUCUAUCUUUUGUCUUAAGGCACUAUUUCACACUCUGGUGAAAAAAACUAGUAGUGAGCUUAGAGUGUUACUUCUCCUGAACACACCUAAAUUUUAAAUAAGAGAUAAUUCUUUAGCCCAAAGGAAUGAAGGUCCAGUAGCAGACUUUUAAAUGUUAAAGACAAUCCAUUUAGGAAGAUACUCUGAGGACAAGGACUUCUCUGCCUUGAAAUUAUGCCAUGUAGGCAGCUGACUACUUCACCUAUAUAAAAGGUCCAUCCAGGCCAUUGCCUUGAAACCCUCCUGGAGAUUUCAGAAAAUAUUCCUCUCUUUAUGUUGCUCCUCUGUGAAUCACCAUACCAGUUCCCUCCAUUCACCCUUGCCUGAUCAGUCUAUCAUUGAAUUGGACUGAGAGCCCUAUUUCUCCAGUUUUCCUCCCCCUUCAUUUUGGUUUGAGUGGCAGGCUCAGGAGCAGAGUCUGGGUCUCUGCAAAGAGAAGCUGCUAAAUUUGGAGGCUGGGGAAAAUAUGGUGACUGUCAUAAUCACUGGUUCUUAAUAAGGCACCAUCAGCAGCUGGGUCUAGAAAAGGAAAGAGGCCCCAUUGUAUUGUAACUCUUGCCCCUCAAGAGAUUAAUGGCCUCACUAGCCUGAUUCAUGCUCUCAAAAAAGGCCAAGAGUUUUGGAGUGGGUUCCAGGGGAAGAAGAGAAGAUCUGAUCUCUGGUGAACUCCUGCUGAGUGCCCAUUAAUAGAGGGAACAAGGGGGUACUUUUACUAAAAUGAAAGAGUCCUGAAUGAAAAGGAUCAUCUUUUGGAGGACUCUAGGAGUCUCUUGGAUGCCAACUCCCCUGCUCAUCUUCUGAUGGUUAUCAACUAAGACAUCAUCCAUGGAAAGAAGGUACUUUCCACCAUUCCCACAUUCCUACUUUAGUAGGAGUGUCUGGGAGAACACCCUAUCUCUUGAGUUCUGUAGUCCCCAACUAGUUGAUGGGGAAAAGACAAUUAAUGCUAAAGAAGAGAGAAACAACUAGCCAUUCCAAGAUCUCAUUUUAGAAAGCACACUGAGGAAAAUACAGUAGGUUAUUUCAGUGCCAAUUUUUCCUUCCUGUCCCAGGACAGGAGAGAGAUGAACAUGAAGGGAAAAGGGAAAUUUAUCUGGAAGGGGACAAUGGAGAUCCAGAAAGGCAUUGAAGGAUGGAGGAAAUGAGGAAAGACCAGGAAUUGGUGUCUGAACCAUCCUCAUAGAGUGUAGGAGGAGAACCAGACACAGAUAAGGAAACAGAUACUCUUCCAUUCUUCUUUCUCCCACAUUCACCUUCUCACCCUUCUAUUGACCAUAGAAAUGAAUCCUAAAGCUGAUUGGUUAAGACUUAGCUGGGUCUGGAAUUGAGGUUUUAUAUUCCAACUUCUCCUUUCUCUUAUGUGCCUAACUUCUCAAAAGACCAGAGGUAAAUGGAAAUACAGAUACCCCCUUUCCAAAGAACCAUCAUCAUUGUUUCUACACUUAGUCAAUGACAGCAAAUAUAAGUGGAAGACAAAGGCAAAAAAGAACCUCCCGUUUCAGAAAAAUAUAAUGAACUUGGAAUUAGUCUAGCCCAGUGAUAGUGAACCUUUUAGAGAUCUAGUGAUGUGCUCUGCCCACUGCUCCCUUACCCCACACAGGGGAGGGAGAAAGGGGUCAUGUUGAGCAGAGGGGCAGGUGAAGUGAGGAAUGUCCUCAGCACAGGUGAAGAGGGAGAGGAGAGUGGCCUGAGCUCUGCUCCCCUCUAGUUCUGCUGCCUGUGAGCUGCUCACCUUAUCCCCAUGUGUUCCCCUUGGGCUGCUAGGCAAAGGGGUGAGGGAUGUGAAAAAUGUCCUCCAGCACAGUGGAAAGGGGGAUGGGAGCAGCUCCACUCAAAUCUCUAGUAGAGAACUGGGAGAGGGGAGGGGAUGGAGGCUCCCACGCCCAUAGAGAGCACUCUGUGUGCCUUCUUUGGCACCUAAACCAUAGGUUCACCACUGGUGGUCUAGCUAAUGGGGAAGUGAAGUGGUACACUUCACAAAUGAGUUCAAACACCUAGAAUUUCAAUUAUUGGAAUCAUAAUUUAUUAAUAAAAGAGAGAAAUAAAAAAUCUACCAGCUGGGGCAGAAUUCCCUAAUGGAAAACUGCAUCAGACUGACAUUACAGGAUAACUUAUAUACAUUACAGAGUUAUACAGGUUCUUAUCUGACAACAAACAGACUUUAAUACAGGAAUGUGAGGUUGGAGACAAGAAGCCCAUCCUGGGGUUGUGAUCUAAGGAGUAUUUAUCUUUACUUAGUCAAAUGUUAGUUUGCUGACCCUUUGAUAUUCCUGAAAUUCCUCCUUGUCUCCUUCCCCCCCCCAAGCCAAACAGAAACCAGUUUGUUAUCUCCCUAAAACAGCUGGACCUCCUGGAGGGAAGGGAAGCCAGAUCUGUCCCCUAAAAAUGGGGACAGGGGGCUAUCUCUUUUUAAUUUUUCCAUCUUUGGUCUUUUUGGGGCUACUUCAGAAGCUACUUAAAGAAAGGCUGGAAUCCCUCAGGUAGAGCUUCAAUCCUCUUAGGAAUAUGGCUCAAAAACACAUGGUUUCCAGAUACUUAGUAAGGUCCUGACCAUGAAAGGGUUAAAGUUCAUGCUUCCCUUACUUCAAAGAGGCCCAAAACCUGGAAAUGUUAGGGUGGAGCUUACUCUGGCUACCUAAACUGACCAGUUACCAUUUUUUCCAAUAUUUCAUAAAGUUUAGCUCUCUGUGGGCCUCAGUUGAAAAACUCCUAAAAAAAGAAGUCUCAAUCUCCAUUCCUGCCUCUUUUCUGCUUAUCCAUUUCCCAAAAACAGCAUGAUCAUAUCAUCUCUAGAGCUAGCUCAAUUUUCUCAUAUCUCUCAUUUCAUCUGUUCCUCAACUGUGAUUAUCCAUAAACCCAGUCAUAAAUCACCAUAAUCCAUAAACUACCUAGAUGAGGUUAGGAACUAGCCCCUUAACUCCUGGUCUCCUCCCACCUCCCAGUGUCAUGCUCUUCUCUCCCAGGUCUUUUCUAAAUUCCCAUUUAAGAUUUAAUCCUCAGCACAAAAAAAGGCAAUCUUGGGCUAUGUUAAAAAUGACUUGUUUUCUUCCAGCACAUCCACCAUCUAUAAGUAAAUCCAUAUAAAAUAAAGGACCUGAACUAACACUUAAUAUGUCUUAUUCAUCUCAGAACCCCCUAACCGUGCCCAAACUAUUUCCCUUCCCUUUUUUCCUAGAAGGUUUAGUACAAUGGAGAAAGAAUCAAUUACUUUAUGAUUGAUGGUAAAGACAGAACAAAACUGAAUUGAAACAGUUCUCAAAAUUAAGAAGCUGAAGCCCCAGGUAUCUGGAGAAGUCAGGGUCUAGAAGCCUUUUAGGAUAAAUGAGCUGCCUUGUCCCAACUUCUGAGAAGGACUGCUGUCCUAAUUGGUUACUGUCUCACCUAGCCCUACCACUUGAGGUAGGCUCCAGCCAAACUUCUCUUCUUUACUCCCUAUUCCCCAAACACCUCAACAAUUACUAACACACAUAGCCUCUUACCCUAGUCCCUCAUCUGCUCUCCAGUUCUAGAACCACAAUCAAAUCAACUCUUCCAUUGCUCCAGGAAGAGUGUGUCUGCUCCCUAUUUCUCAAUCCCAGGAAUUUUCAGGAUCAAAAUGGCCCUCCCCGGCUUCUCCUCUACUUCCCCUCUAUUUAGGAUGUAAGUUCAUUAUGAUCAGGAGCUAUGUAUCUGUAUUCCUAGGGCUUAGAUGAGUGUUUGGCAAAUAAUAAGCAUUUAGUGUUCUUCAUUCAUUCAAAAACCAGAUCCACCAUCUAUUAAAGAAGAAACCACACUUUGAAAUUUAUGUACUUUUAAAAAUAGAAUUCUUGGCAAUAAGAGGUUAGCAAUUUAUAUAUAACCUUCCUUUUCCCUUUUUCUAUAUAGAAAUGCCAUCUCUUUAUGUGCAGGUGUGUUUGAUAUAAUUUUUAAAAAGAAACCAAACUUCAGCUUAACCCUUUCCCCUAUCAUUUGUCCAUCCAUCUCCUUUCACUUAAGAAUAUCAACCUCCUUCCAUAGAACAUGAAAUUGUAUUCUUUACCUCUUACCCUUCCCAAUCCUAUCCCUUCUCCUUUCCUCUCCCAAGGAUUCCCAACUGAACUCUCCCAGGAAAGUCACCUUCUUCCAAUAAGGCACUGGGAAUGAAUCCAGGUCCCUUCUAUCAUCCCUGCAAAGUAGUUUCAGUAAAGUAAGGAUAUAAGUUGCAACCUCUUCUUCCUGACUGUUAUUUCCCCCUUCCAGCCUAUCAUUCCCAUAGUUACCAAAGUGAUAUUCCUAAAUAAAGCCAGUAGAUCUGACCAUUUCACCCCACCUACUCAAUAAACAAUGGUUCCCAAUUGCCUCCAGAAUCAACAAAUAUAAAAUCUUCUGUGUGGUUUUUAAAGCCUCCACAGCCUGGAUCCUUCCUAUUCCAGCCUUUUUAUAUGUCAACUCUCUCUACAAUCCAUUUUUAUAAUUUCCUUGCUAUCAUUCAUAAGUCUCUCUUCUUUUGGAUCCAAGCAUUUUCCCUGAUUGUUCCCCCAUACCUGGAAUGCUCUCACUCCUUACCUUGACCUUCUGAUUUCUCUAACUUCCUUCAAGUCUCUCCUAAAAUUCCACUUUCUACAAAAGACCCUUCCUGGUACCCCUCAAUGCUACUGUCUUCCUUUUGAGACUCCAUCCCAGCUAUUGUAUGUCCAUAGUUGUUUUCAUGUUAUAUCUCCCCCCAUUAGAAUAUGAAUUCCUUGAGGGCAGGGACUGGUUUUGCCUUUCCUUAUAUCCCUUUGUGCCAAAUACAAACUAAAUACUAAGUGUUUGUUGAAUGAUUAAUUGAUCCUACAAACACUUAACUUUGGGUGGAUUCAGCUAUAUACCCUCAGCAGGGGGUGGAGUAGGGAUUGGGAGAUGGAAUAAAUUACAAGGAAUAAGCAUGAAAAAGGAGAUAUGAAUCUGCUUGUUCCUCAACCUUUGUCAACUUCAGCAAAUCUCCGGUAAUAUGAGCAUCUCACCACAUUUAUGUGAUACUGGAUUCUCUUCAUCAUCCCAACAACCUAUUCAUUCUGCUUAAGUUGGUGGAUCUUAAGAGAGGGAUAGCCUUGGCUGGCCUUCCUCAUAUUCCUGAUUAGCUAGAAGAUUUUUUUUUUCUUUUAAAACCCUUACCUUCCGUCUUGGAGUCAAUACUCUGUAUUGGCUCCAAGGCAGAAGAGUGGUAAGGGCUAGGCAAUGGGGGUUAAGUGACUUGCCCAAGGUCACACAGCUAGGAAGUGGCUGAGGCCAGAUUUGAACCUAGGACCUCCCAUCUCUAGGACUGGCUCUUAAUCCACUGAGCUACCCAGCUGCCCCCUAGCUAGAAGAUCUUUAGCUGUGUUUGCUCCCUUUGACUUUCUUGUGUCCACUUUCUCCCAAGAAGAAAGUUAUGUGGCAGAAAGGUGAUCAUCAGCAAAAAGAAUCAUACUUAAGUGAAAAGCUCUUUCAAGAGUAUUCUUUUCCCUAAACAGCAGCUUUCCUGUCAGAUGAGACUUUACUUAUUUUUGUUUUCUUCUAUUUGAAUAGAAGUCUUGUUCCCACCUGUCUUCCUAAUCAGGAGCUUGGGUGGGCAGAGUAAAAAAUGAAAUUUAUAUUGGCUUGUUUCUAUGGCAACCAUCUCAGAUUCAUCUAUUCUCUGAAAGUCUUUCAAGAAACCCUGGCCCCUUGCUUGCUACACCAGGCUGUACAUCAGGGCUCAUUAAAAUUAUCUUCAAGGAUAACUUUUACUAUUCUGAUUUUUGUCUUACAUGUUAACUUUUAAAAUCAAAUUCCCAUGUAAAAUGGAACUUCCCAGGAUUCUAUUCAGAAGUCUGUCAGUGAAGGAGAGGACAGAGAUAGGGGUCAUAGCUUAAUGUGGUUGGCCAAGUGAAGGCCUGAGCAAACCAAAACGGAAGAAACUGAAGAUGCAGAAAGAGGAGAUGAUAAAAGGGACAAGAUCCCAAAGAAAAUGAAAAGAAGAUGAGAUCAAAGAUCCAGAUGGAAGUAUUUCCCUAGGGAAAGAGAACUAUUUCUUCUUGAGAUAAUGGAGAAGAGGAUGGCCAAGGAAAGAGAUUUUGAAAUAUGAAUGAAGAGAAGUUUAGGGAGUUCAUAUCAGAUAGCCAUAAAAUAAAAACUAAGGUCUUCUAAAAGAAGGAAUGAAGGGAAUUCAGAUAAGAGUGCAAAUUAGGGUCUUGAAGCAAGAAGAAAAAAACUUGGGACAACUAUUUGUGGGAUGAAAGGGAUCAACACAAGAAUUUGGGGGAAGGAGUUGCUGGGGUUACAUAGUUCUGUGGUAGAGUCAACUAAUUCAGUUUGCUAUACUGUCUUUUCUCCAGAGGUCCAGAAAUAUGAACAGCAAAAUCAGAUUUUGUGAGCUAUGCAGUUUAGGAGAUGGAUAAAUAUAAUGAAAGGCUGAGGAGGCAAGGGAUUUUAUGAUAGUAAAGAAUGAAUACUGUUUUAAGGCUGACUACAAAUGCAGGUUCAGAAGUGGGAGAAACUACAGGAUGCAGUGGGGGGAGGGGAGGACCGAGUCUUGAUGAGGGUGGAGAGAAGUGUAGAAGCAAUUCAAGACAAGCCAAUGAUUAAGGUCAUCCUAUGACAUCAAUCCCACACAUUGUCUUGAAAUGGAGAUAGUUCCUCAGCCCCAAACAUCUCAUUGACUCUUUCUUUCCUUCCUCUCUCCUUGGAAUUUUCCACAUAAAGUAGUCCUAAAACUGUAUGGUUAGAUUUUUGAGGAGAAUUUUGUUGAGUAACAUCCAAAGUCUGAAGUGAAAAAGAUUGCCCUUUUCCCCACUUACUGGAGAGAUAGGAACCAGGGGUUUCCAGCUUUCACCUCCCUAUUCAGAGCACCCAGAUACCAAUUCUCAAGGCUCCUAAAAGAGGCUCCAUUCUUGACUUUCAGCAAUUUGUUUUUUCAUAAGAAAAACCUAUGGGUAGUUUAUUCUCUUCACUUUCCUUUACACACUCCUGCUUAGAGGUCAAGGACUUCCAUCUAAUGACAUUGGAAUCUUCAACUUUUUAUAUCCCCAUCCCUCAGGAUCCUAGGUUCUGCUGAACCUGGUCCUUAUCUUCCCCAAGUCACAUUCCAUAAAUUCUCUUUUACACCCAGUCUUAUUCUCCUGAUUCCUGGGGGUAGUUAAAAGGUCUUCUUUCUAUUGGCUUUGCUUUCUUCUUAAUCUAUUGAGGAAGGUUCCUUCCUCCUUCAUAGGCCUCAGACCUGAAAAGGGAAUUCCCUAUCCCAAGAAAAAUUUAAGGCAGCUAAUCUCCUACAGGUCACCAUAACCUUAAUUCCCUGGCUUCCAGAAUUAUUAAAAUCCAAAGCCAGGAGUUGCUUCACAAGAUGUGUGUCUGUCUUAAAGAAUACCUCUGUCCAAAAAUAUGCCCAUUUGCCUCUGUAAUGGCACCAGUAGAUAUUCAUUACUUUGCUCUAAAACUAUUAUCUUUUCUAUCUAGAUCAGAAGGUGUACAUAAUUUUACAUAAUCUGAGGGCAAUCCCAUUUGUCUUUUAUCAUGUUUUGCUACUGCUGUAACCUAGGGACCACUGUGCCUUUCCAUCUGAUUUGUAGCUGAAAACUACUACAUGUUGUUUCCCCUAUUAGAAUGUGAGCUCCUUGAGAGCAGAGAUUAUCUUGCUUUUCUAUUUGAAUCCCCAGUGCUUGGCAUAGUGCUUUGUUACACUUAAGAAACACUUUUUCAGUCACCCAUUUAUUCAUCAAAAAUGUCAAAACUCCUAAGAGAGGUAAAACCUUAUUUAGGUGGAAAUAGUUGGCAACAAGUCAGAAAAGGGAAGCCUUGCAAAAUAGGUACAAGGUCAAUUACUAGAAUAAGGGAAAGGGGACUAAAAGAAAAAUAGGAAGGAAGCAAAAUCAAUCCCUACUUGUUAAUUUUGCCUAUGCCCUGUACAUAUAUAUAUAUGUAUAUGUAUAUAUAUAUAUAUAUGCCACAUAAUAAGGGAAAGGAGGGGUCACAGGAAAGUAAAAGUCCAUAUUCUAUCUUUGGAGUGAUAUAAAAUGGGCAAAUGAAGAGGAAGGGCAAAGGGAUGGUUAAGGAACAUAAGUUCAUUUAGAAGGUUUUAGGGGGUAUAUUAUGGUUCUCUAAAGAGACCCUACAAAAGCAUUAUCUCCCAGGUCAGUACCAUCUUAUCUUGUAAACUAUUUGCUUACUAUCCAAGGAAGGAUUAUCCUGAAGGGAGAAUUUCAGGACAUAAGACAUGAUAAGACAUGUUAGUGAAGAAUACAUAGAAUUCUUCCUCUGAGGACAAGUCAGUGGCCUCAUCCCCCAAAGCACUUAAAGAAAGUGACAAGCACAUGGAAGACAAUAAAUAUUUUAUUAUAACAAAUAGAAUUACUCCUACAAGAAAGAAAAAAUUUGUUACCUUUGAAAGAUUACAAAUAAUUGUCUCAACCUUGCCCUCAGUCUUCACUGAAUCUGUCAGUGACACAGAGGCUGUGAAUUCCUAAUCUAGCCUCUCUGCACCUUUGCUAACUUGGAUCUUACUCCCUAAUUCCUGACCCUCUACAGUCUUAAACUGGCAGUUCAGACCUCAUGACCACAACUGCUGGCAUCUAAUGAUGGCUAGAUGCCACCCAAAUCCACCCAUAUGGAUGAUUCUAGAAGAUUAACAUUCAUUAAUUCAUUCAUUCAACAUUUUCGACCACCAAUCCAUAAGACGCUAUUAGGCACUGUGAGGAAAUGUUUUUUAAGUAUUAAGAUAUGGUCUUCAUGGUUAUGCAAAUUGCAGUAGAAAAGUUUAUACUUAAUGGAGCACAUGGAUCAAAGUCUUACUAGUCCCAGUAGUCUACAGGAUAUACUACACUUUUGCCACAUGAAAAAUGAAGAUAGUAAAGAAAACUCCCAAAGAGGGCCUGAUCUCCCCCUGAAGAGAUCCUGCCUUUCACUGAUGCAGAGAUAGCCUGCCUUCCCUCCACAAAAACCUCUUAUCCCUAGUUCAAAUUGAUGCCCUAAAGGUCUCCACUACCUAAUUACAGAACCCCCACCCUAAAGAGAAGGAAGUCCAGAAGAAAGGAGAGCAAAGGGGCUCGAGUCCCUUUCAGUAACACAGAGCAGCUGUCAGUACAAAACUGUUUCAAGCCAAGAUCCCACCAGGACAAUCAGAAGCAUUUUUCUUGCUUAUCUUUAGAUUUAGUGGGGUGGUUAUGUUUCUAGUGUUCUUCCCUAAAAAAGGAGGGGGGGGAUCCUGACUACAGGAUCCAUUUUUCCAUGAUACUGACUUCUGCUGUCUUUAUAUUAAGCUUGCUUUCGAAAUGCUUGGUACCCUAAAAUAGAAUAAUCGAAUUUGUCUAGAGACAGCCUGUUGGAAGGGCAAAAAGAAUGCCAUAAUUUUUUUCCUUCCAAUAGCUUUAUCUCCUGCCACCUCUUUACACUUUGAUCCAUGAAUUAUGCUUCUUCAAUUUGGAUUAAUUUGAGUCCUGCAAAAGGAGGAGCAAACUUCUGGACCAUGGUGGGGAAGGAUCACACUCUGAUCACACUUCUCCCACUCCCACCCCAGAAAAUGGGGGCAAAGUGCUCAUUCACUUGGGAAGGUGAGAUCCAGGGUCUAGUCACACGUUAUCUUGUGAUUCUGGUAUCCCAUUGCCCUGAUAACCUCCUAGUUCAGGGAGGAGAAGCAAAGGAUAGAGACCUUACCUAAAGCCUUUCAAGCUAUGAACCUAAUGAAGGUUCAUUCUCUUCCCUGUUCAGCUCCAUUAUUUCCUGUUAUUUCUAACUUAUAACCUCUGUUGCAUAGAGGGGAGAAAGGCUAUUCCUACCACUCCUAUCUCCUUACCUCUAGAUGGGAUUAACAUCUGUAUGGAGGGUAGGAAUAACGUGCCAGCCAGAUACAAUCAUACACUUAAGCUGCACUAUACCUGGGAUAAAUUGUUGGGUGAAGGACUGUCUGGACAGAGAAGGGGCAGUCCGAGAGAGGCGCCCGCAGGGAAAAUUGUUCCCCUUUAGGUGAGGUACCACAUGGAGAAGGGUGGUAAGGAGCAGAGAGCAAGCCCGGGCAGGAAGCAGCCCCUGCCAUGUCAGCACUCUGGAGCAGAACUUCACUGGCCACAAGUUCUUUAUGACUGAUACUGAUUCCUGAGGUCAAUUUGUAGUCUUUGUAACUGAUCCAAUCACACAUAGCAUGACCACAGCUCUGUAAAAGGCAGUCUACUUUACCCCACCUUGCUCUAUGUCCAGGGGUAUACUAGGCAUUUGUGCUUUGCCUCCCACGCUGUCCUACUGUAUACUGGACAAUAGAAGGUCAUAUAGUCUUGAGGUAGAGGAAGCAAUUCUACCCAGAUCAGAAGGUGAUGACUAAAGGCAUUUUCACAUGACGUUAUGACAACUGUCCAAGGGGGAAAAAAUCAGAUUAAUUGUAUCUGAAUUGCCUUAGAAGGACUCAAAACCCAAUGAGAGAAGCCCCUCCCCUCCUCUACCUAAAGCACUUCCCCAAGGCCCAAGGAGUUUUCCCUUUCCUAGUUCCUACAAUCUCCAUUCUCUCUGUACUACUCUUCUGUAUCCCAGGAGGAAAAGCCUGUAGGAAUGAGGGAAAGAGUUCCAGCCAUCUGGCCUUCAAUUGCUGCCUAGGUGCCUAGGAGCUCAGGAGAAUCACUUGCAUGUUUUGUGCAAUCUUUUUCAAGAGAUUUAGAGAAGAAAUCCUGGAAGAUUUGCUCCAUGACCAGUGAAAUAACUAAUUUGACACUUGUAUAACUAGUUGGGAUAAUUGUAGGUUCAAGGGUGGUAUUAUAGGGCCAGUAAUCUGGUUUGGGAAGGGUAUACCAGCCCAGGGCUGGCAAAACCAGACCCUGAUCUCAUAAACACAGACACUGUAUAAUCACAGGACAGUUUAGUUUAAUAACUAAGGGAAAGGUGAAAGGGGCUUGGGAUAUCUAAAGAACAUAAAUAAACCUCCCCCCAAAACAAGCUGAUAACCUCAGAAAGAUGGUAUCUUACUGUCAGUUACCUAUCUACCUAAAAGUCCCAGUUCCUAUAAUACAAUACACUUCUCUAACCCAAAUUUCCCCUUGGAUGGUGAUAGAGGUAAUAGGGUAGGAAGGUAAGCAAGACCAGGACUUAAAGGCAUAGUCUCACUGACAGAUGGCUUUUGGUAUCUUCAGCAGCUCUGUAGGAAUAUCUCUCAGCAUCAACAGGUUCCACAGGAACAGGCAAAAAACCACAGGAGAGAGAAUAGCUAGUUCACUAGGUCCACCCCCGGAAACUAGACAGAAACUCAACCUCCUGCCUGCUCAACUGUCUCUUAGAAGAAGCAACAGUCCUGCCACUUCUCCAGAAUUCUGGAACCUUCCUGCUUCUGCCUUUGCAGGACCUUCUGCUCCUUCCUUUCCUUAUAACACCAGAUAACAAGAAAACAUGUCUAACGUUUAGGAAAGUCCUCUCAUACAUUACAUUACAUUACAUUACAUUACAUACAUGCAUUUUCAGACCAUUCUCAGCCCUUGAUUUUGCAAGAGAUUUUUGUCAAUGAGAACAUGAUGGAAGAUGCAAGCAUGGAAAGAGAGAGCACCUUCUAUUAGAAGAUGGGAAUGAAAAUUUGGGGGGAGGAAGGGGCAGAAGAGCUGCAAUAAUUGGGUUUACCUGGGGAUCUUCUUAACCUUUAUCUCUGAAUUCAAUGAAGGUAUUUAUUCUCUUUCUCACGUUGCUGAGAAUGAUUUGACUCCCGAUGAGGCUCAACUCAGGAGAAAGUGUGCAAUUCUGCUUUAUAACAUAUUAUACUAUAGAAGUUCUUUAAGUGUCAGAGGUAUACUCCAAUAAAAAUGGCUUCAGAUUUUGGUGAGGAAUGUGUCCCUCAGGACACAAUGAGUCUCCCAAAAUUUCCCAAAAGGGAAAAAUAGGGAAGGAAGUGAACUAGGGAUUCUGUUUUCUUCCUAACUUCAACAAUCAUUAAAGCUUAAGCCCAAGAUACUGAGAGAUUGGCAUUUGCUUAGGCUUAAGAGGUCCCUGAAGUUCCUUGGUUUUCUCCAGCCUUUCAGACCCCAACUUUAACAUAAUCCAAAUCAGAAUCCCACCCUCCAAAUCCUCAGAUGAAGAGCUGGGCUAAGGCUUCUGGGAAGAAGAUCCACAUACUGAACUGAAGGAAUCAAAUGAGAGACUUGUAAAUCAUAUAACAGCAUCUUGCACAUAGUACGUGCUUAAUAAAUGCUUAUUCCAUUCUGUUCCCUUACCCCUACCCACCCACAACCACCAUUCUAUCACUAAAGACCAAAGAGGAAGGAAAGAAAGAUAUGGGAAGAAGGGUUGUUUCAGCUGCUACUUUUGAAAACUGGUACCCUACUCUAAAACCCUAUAUACUGUUGCCUGACUUUCAAUAACAAUUCUAUCAUUAAUCCCCAAGAAUCAAUGUCCCGAACACUAAAAGAAGUAAAAACUUUUCAUCCUUCUACCUUGUAAGUUGACCUUCUAUGUACAAAAAUGUCAGAUGUUUUGACUCCCAGACUUUGGUAUUCAGCACCUUCAACUCUACUUCCUAUACAACCUUUGGAGAAGUCCACACUAAUUCUCCCCCUUGACCACUACUUUAAAUGUGGAACCCCUUCACCCCCAGAAAAUAAUUAAAUUGGCUCUUUAUUUGUGACAAAAAUGGGGGAGAGAAGGACUGAGAACCUCAAACAAGGUGCCCAGAGUUGCUAUCUGGGUGAUUAAAUUCCCAACUCCUCACUUAGUAUUUAAAACUAAGAAGAAUGGUCCUCUCCAACUACCCUCAACAAUUCCAAAUCACCCUUCAUUAGUUAUGCUCCAAUUUCUUCUUGCUUUAUCUAUUCUCCAUUAUUUUGUGUUUGGACCCCACCAUGCUUACUUUGCCCCAAAACCUUCCUCAUUCCCAGUCAUCUACCCUGAUAUGAUGUUACUAUUACUGUACAAAUAUUACUAUUAUUUUGGAUUCUUAUAAAACCUUCUAAUAGAUAAUUUCCAAUAACUCUUCUAAUUCAUGGGCAAGGCACAGGCAGGUAGGAGCUGAUUCUCCCCUUUCGUUCAUUAUUGACCUCUCUUUAAAAUCCUGGGCUGCCAAAGAUAAUUGAAUCACAAUCAUCUCAACCCCUAAGACCUACACACAUGGUCUUGUAUACAGUGACAUAAUUAAACUCAUCAUAAACAAAAGCACAAUAUAAAGAAAUUUUCUGCUUCUUUUGCUUCCUCUCCUUUCCCCACAAAGCUGGUAGAUUAUGAGGAUGUUUAUCUUUAUUUCGGAAGACACUGAGAGUCAAAUCAAAUACAGUUUUCUCUGAGGACAUGCAAGAUGGGGAGAUGAGAGGAACCUAAGAGCAAGAAAUAGGAUUUCUCAUUGCCUGAGCAAUCAGACAUCUCUAAGAGUAUCCCUCCUCUGUAUUCAAGACCUAAGCUUCCAGAGACUUAACAACUUCUACUUCAUCAGACUUCUUACUUUGAAAUGUCAGUGGCACCACGUGUUUUGGAAGCCUGGAUUGGUCUCCCAAAUGGAGUCCAACAGAGUAACAGUCUCAUACACAAGAGUCGUUGAUGGACCAGGAGUCCCAAUUGAUGUUCACAGAUGUUCGCAGCAGGGUAGAGGUCUUUCUCCAGUCAAGCUGUCCAGCAGGCUGACUACAUAUACUCUCUCAUCCCAGCUGAAAUCCUCAAAGGUCAGUUGUUGAUGGAUGAUCAUGAUCUUUUCAGCCACACACCUUACUCCUUCUGCUCCCCCAAAGUAUGGUAGUUGGGGAAAACAAUCCUCUACUGCUUGGAACCUUGACCCAGUAGGCUCAUGUACAUCCAUGCUAAGGAAUGUUUCUGCUGCCUCAGUUAUUCUUUCGAGGAAGGCCGUAGGUGUUUCUGCUACCUUUUGUUUAAUAGCUUCAAAUUUGGACCAGGCAUUUGGUCUUUUAGUAUACCAACCCAUAACCUCAAGUAUAGCUUCCCUAGCUUCUUUCAUUUCCUCAUAUUUAUCUUUGUUAGUUAUAUCCAUUUCAUAUCUAUUUGGCCAGGAUACUAAUAGAGGAUCUGAUCUUGUCUCUAUGAAUUUGGUACAGUCCCUUUUUGUUAGUAUUUCUUUCAUUAAAAGGGCAAAAUCAUUGUAAUCCGGGUCAAAAAGGUCAAUAACCCAUUUCAUUUCCUUGAUCACUCGAUUUGGUUCCUCAGUAAAAGCUGGGGUCCUUCUCAAUGGAUUCUAGGUCUUUUGGGGGUAAACAUUUUAUGGGUCUUUAUUUGGGAUAUUUCAUCUUUGGAAACUACGGGAGAUCCCUUAAUGGACAUAGGGUAGCCAUCCCUCUAGCCUCUUACUGUUGUAACCUGCUAAAUUGUUUUAUUUCUCCAGUGUUCCUAUUAAUAGUCCCCACAUCCAUAUUCCAUGUUUAUGACCUUAGUAUUCCUUAUAUAUUGCUCCAUCUGUUCCAGUUGAUUUUUCAUUUGUACCACCAUUAAUUUUAACUCAGAAUCCCUUGUUACCCAAGUCACAAUAGCUUUGAACCAUUUGCCCACAAUAAAGAAAGCCAGUCUAUACUUGUACAAUAGAUAAAGACAAAUAUAACAUAAGGGGACAUGAGACAGGACAGUUCACUAUAUUAUAUCCAUCACCGGUUUCAUCCAUGUAUACUCUAAACCUAUAUAACAAACAUUAGGGAAUAAUACAAAAACAGUGUAUGGGAUAUGCAAAAUAUAAUCCCACAGUACAAGUAAAAUAUUCAUUAUAACAUCACCAGACAUUUUAAUAUUCAAUGAUAACACCAUGUAUACAAGUGACUGGGUGUUGUUAUACUCCACUGUGAGCAAUAUUUACACAAAUAAUUUACAAACAAGAAAAAAUUUGAAAAAGAAAAAAAAAUUUUUUCAGUAUGGCCACCCAAUAUGGCCACCUAUAGCAUGUGGCAAUGGCCCUUUAAAGUUUAAAUGGCUCCACUAGCCUGCCCAGAGUCUUAGAAUUCUGCUGGUCCCCACCCUUAGGCUAUACCACUGCUUUGAGUGGGAAUGGAAUGUUCCACCCCCAACUGACUGACUUCUCUAUAGACACUAACUUACAUAAAUAAAACUUAAUUUGUAUGAUUUUUGAAACCUAGCUAGCUCUGUCAAACUGUUUUAAUAAUUAUAAUAGAUUAAUUGGGUGAGGGGAAGGAUAGUAAUACAGAGGGAAACAUAUAAAAUAUUGAUUUUAUUAACAGGAAAAGGGAUGAAGAGUUUGGGAAUAGAAGGAAGGCAAGGGUUACUGCUAACACUUAUGCCAGUUGCUGAUGGAUGAUCAGGAUCUUUUCAGCCACACACCUUACUCCUUCUCCUGGUCCUCCAGAGUAUGGCAUUUGGGAAAACCGCUCCUCAACUGCUUGGAACCUUGACCCUGUAGGCUCAUGAGAUUCUAAAUCCUGCCAAUCAUUUGCAAUUGCUAUCUUUCCUUGAUACACCAUUCACAAGUCCUGAAGGGCAUCACUCCUUGAAAGGGAAAGGAGGAUGAGAUUAUUUAGACAGCAGCAGUUGAGCUGAAGGUCCAGAAGAAUGAUUUUGAGGGUAUUAUUAUUGGGGUGGAUUGGAGAAAGUCAAUCGGACCAUCUUUGGGGAAUGAUCUCCCAACUCCAAUGUCAGCUUUCUUUGCUCUUCCCAAUCAGAAGUAAACUCUCCAUCUUCUAAUUUAAUAUAGAACCUUGUAACUGCCUUAUUGCAUUUAUACAAUAUACUUUCAAUUAUAAUUAUUUGUACAUAUGCCAACUACCCUUCUAGAUGGAACAUUUCUUCCAGAAAAGCAGGGACUGUGUCUUACUCCUCUUUGUAUUCUCUAUAUUUCCUAGUACAAUGUCUUGCACAUAGUAAGUGCUCAAUAAAUAUUUGUUGAAUGAAUGAAUUAGUGAAUGAGAAGGGCCCUCCUCCUGAUUUGCUAACCCUGGCUUAAGGGUGGCAAAUUUGGGCAAUUGAAAUACAAAAAGGAGCCUGCUGCAUCUUUCCAAAGAUGUUACCCAUUUCUGGAUAGAUGUUGCACCUAUCCCAACUUUCCAAGGAUCAUAACUUUUAGAAAGUAAAAGGGGGAGGGGGGACAAAGGGGAGCAGAAAGAAAAGUAUAGUGGAAAAAACCCUGGAUCUGGAGUCAAGAGAAUCUGGGGUGAAAUCCUGACUCAGAUACUUAUUAACUGUGUGACUUUGGUCACAUCUUCUUAUUUAUCUGGGCCUCAGCUUUUUCAUCUGUAUGGAACAGGAAUUAAGGCACAAAUUGUUUAAAUAGUUAUCUCCAUUAUUGGCUUCAUACAUUCAUAACUUAACAACAUGUAACAUAGAUUAGGAAACAGUUUAAAAAUACCACAGGAAAUAUACAUUAAACAAUUGUAAAUAAACAUAAAAUUGUGUUCAACAUAUCCUCCGCCAUGAUGUUAUACCGUUGUACAAUUGUAUAAUACAAUAUGGGAUAUGUAUUAUUAGUAGCUACUUUGAUUGAAAAAAUCACCAACAGAAAAAAGAAAUUUUCCACAUAGCACACAUGCUACUCGUCCCUUUAAAUUAUCCUUUUAAACUGUCUCCUUAAGUGGUGUUAAAUCCCCCCCAGUGUCAAUCAACCUUAAAUUCUAUUUUCAGCACCUUGGACAGCAACCUACUCACUCCCUCCCCCAAGGAGAUGGAAUUUUGCAGUCUGCUGCUCUUGACUGACAGAUCUGGUAGAAUUCUUUCUGCUGCCCUGCCACCCUGCUUGGUAACCCACAGCACUCAGUGAAACUUUAUAGCCUAACCCAAAAUUCUAUAGGUUUGACAUUCCUUGGCUUGCCAAACGAAAUAAAAAAUUAAAAGUAAAUGUAAAAAUAAAAGUAAAAUAUAUGGUUUAUCUAAACUGGGACAGGUAAAUCUUAUAUAUAGUAUAUAGGGUUAGGGAUAUUGUCUUUGGGGCAGUUACCAGAAGAUCUUAGGUUUGGGAAGGCUCUCAAAGAAUAACUUUAUUUUAUUCAAGUUAAGGGAAGAGAAUUAGGAUGAUCUAUUUUAAUAAUAUAACCUCCCCCCAUCUAGUUGUUAUCUUAUUACAGUUGGUAUUUGCA